rnacentral:lncRNA from 1 species
CAAAUCUGACGGGUUGACAGAAAAAUAAUAACCAGUCAUUCAUCAUACCUGAAUUUCUUGAGUUAUACAGCUCUGAGGGAUCUCAAAUUUGGAUAUGUUGUAGUUCACAAGCUGAGGAACAACUUCAAUGAAGAAAUCAUGCUGAUCUGAGCAAGAGAAAAUAGAGUUUCAAAGCUCACAACAAAUCUGACGGGUUGACAGAAAAAUCAUAACCAGUCAUUCAUCAUACCUGAAUUUCUUGAGUUAUACAGCUCCGAGGGAUCUCAAAUUUGGAUAUGUUGUAGUCACAAGCUGAGGAACAACUUCAAUGAAGAAAGCAUGCUGAUCUGAGCAAGAGAAAAUAGAGUUUCAAAGCUCACAACAAAUCUGACGGGUUGACAGAAAAAAUCAUAACCAGUCAUUCAUCAUACCUGCAUUUCUUGAGUUAUACAGCUCCGAGGGAUCUCAAUUUUGGAUAUGUUGUAGUUCACAAGUUAAGGAACAACUU